rnacentral:misc_RNA from 1 species
GAUGAAGAACGUAGCGAAAUGCGAUACUUGGUGUGAAUUGCAGAAUCCCGUGAACCAUCGAGUCUUUGAACGCAAGUUGCGCCCGAAGCCAUCAGGUUGAGGGCACGUCUGCCUGGGCGUCACAUAUCGUUGCCCAAUGCCUAUUGCAGUGCAAUAGGAAUUUCUAGGGCGAAUGAUGGCUUCCCGUGAGCGUUGUUGCCUCGCGGUUGGUUGAAAAUCGAGUCCUUGGUAGGGUGUGCCAUGGUAGAUGGUGGUCGAGUUAGAACGAUACCGAUCAUGUGCAUGCUCCCCAAAAUAUGGCCUCUAUGACCCACACGCGUCUUUUGACGCUCAUGACGAGACCUCAGGUCAGGCGGGGCUACCCGCUGAAUUUAAGCAUAUCAAUAAGCGGAG